UACCGCGGUUAUACGAGAAGCCCAAGUUGACAAGCUCCGGCGUAAAGCGUGGUUAAGGGAUAAUAAACACUAAAGCCGAACGCUUACUAAGCUGUUAUACGCUUACGAAAGUAAGAAGCACACCCACGAAGGUGGCUUUAUCCCACCUGAACCCACGAAAGCCAAGGCA
rnacentral:rRNA from 1 species